rnacentral:rRNA from 1 species
UACGGAGGGUGCAAGCGUUGUUCGGAAUUACUGGGCGUAAAGCGCGUCUAGGCGGGUAAACAAGUCAGUUGUGAAAGCCCUUGGCUCAACCAAGGAUGUGCAAUUGAUACUGUUUGUCUUGAGUGGUGGAGAGAGGAACGGAAUUCCGAGUGUAGCAGUGAAAUGACGUAGAUAUUCGGAGGAACACCAGAGGCGAAAGCGGUUCCUUGGCCACUAACUGACGCUGAAGCGCGAAAGCUAGGGGAGCGAACGAGG